ACAUGACAGCGCACUUCCGGUCACUUCGCAUGGUUCUUAAGUAGGCAGUCUCCAUCACGAGCGACUAGAAGCUAAAAAAAGUUGUGUAAGGUAUCGCGCUGACGCUAAUUUUAACUCGGAACAGACGCUACUUCGAACUAAGGUUUAGCUUUUCUACCUUGCGAUGGCUGCACCCAAAGUUCUGAUCUUCGUCGUUAUUGUGUUUGCUGUCAUGUUGAUCAAGGACAGCUACACGGCUGGCAGUGACGGGUGGCCUACAUGUCAAGGGCAGUUGUGUACCUUCGACACCUUCGGAACAAGUUCCUGUCCCCCUGGGUGCCGCUGCAUUGUGAACGUCACCAAGGGAACCACACGCCAAGGCUUCUGCUACCAAUAAUGAAGUCAUAGCAUGUGCUGCUUUUGAACUAAA